UACAGAGGGUGCAAGCGUUGUUCGGAAUCAUUGGGCGUAAAGGGCGUAUAGGCGGUUUGUUAAGUCAUGUGUGAAAUCCCCCGGCUCAACCGGGGAACGACGCAUGAAACUGGCAAGCUAGAGUACCAAAGAAGGGGGUGGAAUUCCCGAUGUAGCGGUGAAAUGCGUAGAUAUCGAGAGGAACACCUGUGGCGAAGGCGGCCCCCUAGUUGGAUACUGACGCUGAGACGCGAAAGCGUGAGGAGCAAAC
rnacentral:rRNA from 1 species